UACGUAGGUGGCAAGCGUUGUCCGGAUUUAUUGGGUUUAAAGGGUGUGUAGGCGGGUCUUUAAGUCAGUGGUGAAAUCUCCGAGCUCAACUUGGAAACUGCCAUUGAUACUAUUGAUCUUGAAUUUUGUUGAGGUAGGCGGAAUAAGUCAUGUAGCGGUGAAAUGCAUAGAUAUGACUUAGAACACCAAUUGCGAAGGCAGCUUGCUAAACAAAUAUUGACGCUGAGGCACGAAAGCGUGGGGAUCAAACAGG
rnacentral:rRNA from 1 species